GGGCCUGUAGUUUAAUGGUAGAACGAGUGGCUGGCAGUCAUUGGGAAGGGGUUCGAUUCCCCUCAGGUCCACCA
rnacentral:tRNA from 1 species